rnacentral:rRNA from 1 species
ACGAACGCUGGCGGCGUGCUUAACACAUGCAAGUCGAACGGAAAGGCCCUGCUUUUGUGGGGUGCUCGAGUGGCGAACGGGUGAGUAACACGUGAGUAACCUGCCCUUGACUUUGGGAUAGCUUCAGGAAACUGGGGCUAAUACCGGAUAGGAGCUCCUGCUGCAUGGUGGGGGUUGGAAAGUUUCGGCGGUUGGGGAUGGACUCGCGGCUUAUCAGCUUGUUGGUGGGGUAGUGGCUUACCAAGGCUUUGACGGGUAGCCGGCCUGAGAGGGUGACCGGCCACAUUGGGACUGAGAUACGGCCCAGACUCCUACGGGAGGCAGCAGUGGGGAAUAUUGCACAAUGGGCGGAAGCCUGAUGCAGCAACGCCGCGUGCGGGAUGACGGCCUUCGGGUUGUAAACCGCUUUCGCCUGUGACGAAGCGUGAGUGACGGUAAUGGGUAAAGAAGCACCGGCUAACUACGUG